UACGUAGCUAAAUUCAAAAAUUGGCUUCCUCCAUGAUCUCAAAGUGCGAAUUCACCGUUUGCGUCAUGGUUCCCCCAAAACCCCAUCCUCCAAUUCCCGUUUCAGCUCGUCAACUUCGUAUUCUUUCUAUUCUUAGUGCAUGUUUAGAUUCCAUUCAUUUUUUGGAAAAAUAAUAACUGUUUUUUUUUUUCUCAUCGUUUUAUUAUCAAAAGCUUUCUCAGUAACAUUUAUUAGGGUUUGGAUUCUGUUAAUAUUAGUUUUAGGGUUGUAAAUUAGCUUUUUUUUUUUCUGAACUUUAAAAUUCCAGUACAUACCCAAAUUACAUGCAUUUAGUCGGUUAAGUUAUGUGCAUUCCUCACGUGGAGACUCAUCCAGAGAAAUGAAACGUAAUUUUCAUUAUUUAGGUACUAAUGUGAUUGAUACUAUAUUUUUUUGAAGAAAUAAUUUGACAAUUUAAUGUUAAAAUUGACUGACCUUAUCACUCUGUUUUUCUUUUGGUUGUAAUUGAGUGUGCCAAUGUUUUUAAUAAUGCAUUAAUGUUUUUAAUUAUUCUGGUUGGAUGCCAUGUUCGAAGUAUAACCAUGCUGGUUUGUUACAAUCUACUACUUUGCUGGGCGGCUUCUGAAUGAGAGGAUCUUGUGUACUCUGGGAGUCAAUCUAUGACCAUACAUAUCGUUGGAUUAGAAUGAAGUAUUAUUAAAUUAGAUAUGGGCCAUUGUUAAACUAUCAAGAGUGUUACUCUUAGAGUGCACACGUAUUUUUCCUGAAGCAAAAUUAAAUUUAUGGCAUCUCCAAGAGAAUGUGAAAUAGGUCUUUUGGAUGUAGGCAGUAGUAGUAUGUAUUAUGUAAUUGCACAAGAUAUAGUGUUAUGUAGAGGUUGGUUCUGAUGAUGAUUAACUAUCUAAUGCACACAGGAAUUUAGUGACUGGUGGGAAGGGUGGUUCACUAUUUGAGUGCUAGUGGCUUGCGUCUGAGAUAGCACUCAGCCAUUUCUUAUAUGGCCCUUUCUACGGAUGGAAAAUGCUUCAAAUGAUGAGUUCCACUGGCAUAUUUCCAGUGGACACAGGUUUUUCAAGGGGGGUUUAGGAGGAGGAAAAGUUUAACCCUUAUUUUGGGUUUGAUCAUCUCCAAGAUUAUUUUGAUUCUGAACUUCUGUAGAAAUACAAAGGAAUCUGUGUCAUUCACUCUUGUCUGCCAGCAACCAUGUGUGUGCUUUUAUUGAUGGAGACCCUUCCCCUGAGCGGUGGGGUAAAACAACAGCAGAAGAGCAGUCACAUAUUCUAAUCUUGGUUGGCCUGUUGUCAUUACAGAAAUAAAUCCCUCCAUUGCUAAUGUUGGUUUUUGUGGAGAAGCUGCUAUUAACCAUUCACAAAUUAUGCUUUGCUGCAUAUUCCAUCGAAUGUCCCAGAGACUCGAGGGAGAAGAUAUCAUGUAUGGUAUGGAUAAGAAAAACAUCUAUCAUAUUCAUUGAGAAUGACUUCUUCCUGGCCAAUACAACGGUAGCUUCUAGGUAACACAUGGUAGAGUUUUCCUUUUCUCUUUUCUUUUUUAUGUAAAAGGAAGAGUUUAAUUGCAAGUCCCAAGUCAGUGUAACAUGCUUCUGUAACAUGAAUUUU